rnacentral:rRNA from 1 species
AACGAACGCUGGCGGCAGGCUUAACACAUGCAAGUCGAACGGGCGUAGCAAUACGUCAGUGGCAGACGGGUGAGUAACACGUGGGAACCUUCCUAGGGGUACGGAACAACUCAGGGAAACUUGAGCUAAUACCGUAUACGUCCGAGAGGAGAAAGAUUUAUCGCCCUUAGACGGGCCCGCGUCGGAUUAGGUAGUUGGUGGGGUAACGGCCUACCAAGCCGACGAUCCGUAGCUGAUCUGAGAGGAUGAUCAGCCACACUGGGACUGAGACACGGCCCAGACUCCUACGGGAGGCAGCAGUGGGGAAUCUUGGACAAUGGGCGCAAGCCUGAUCCAGCCAUGCCGCGUGAGUGAAGAAGGCCUUAGGGUUGUAAAGCUCUUUUGGCAGGGACGAUAAUGACGGUACUCGGAGAAGAAGCUCCGGCUAACUUCGUGCCAGCCGCCGCAGUAACAC